AGUGAACGCUGGCGGUAUGCCUAACACAUGCAAGUCGAACGGCAGCACAGGAAGUGCUGGCUCUUACGUGUGUCGAGUGUCGGACGGGGGAGUAAUACAUCGGAAUCUACUUUUUCGGGGGGGAUAACGUAGGGAAACUUACGCGAAUACCAGAUACGUCCUACGGGGGAAGGCCGGGGAUGGUUUGACCUGGUGGUAGGGAAUAAGCCGAUGUCGGAGUAGCUAGUUGGCGGGGUAGAGGCACACAAAGGCGACGAUCCGUAGCUGGUCUGAGAGGAUGGUCAGACAGACUGGAACUGAGAAACGGUCGCCACUCCGACGGGAGGACGCAGCGGGGACUAUUGCACAAUGGGGGAAAGCCUGAUACAGCAAUACCGCGUGGGUGAAGAACGCCUUCUGGUUGUAAAGCCAUUUUGUUGGGAAAGAAAAGAAGCAGGUUAAUCCCGCGCUGUUCUGACGGUACCCAAAGAAUAAGCACCGGCUAACUUCGUG
rnacentral:rRNA from 1 species